rnacentral:rRNA from 1 species
UCGACGGUUAAGCAUCUUCGGAUGUGUAUAAAGNNNCGAACGGCUGAGUAACACGUGGGCAACCUGCCCUUUGCACUGGGAUAGCCUCGGGAAACCGAGGUUAAUACCGGAUACUCCAUAUUUGUCGCAUGGCGAAUAUGGGAAAGCUCCGGCGGCAAAGGAUGGGCCCGCGGCCUGUUAGCUAGUUGGUGGGGUAGUGGCCUACCAAGGCAAUGAUGGGUAGCCGGGUUGAGAGACCGACCGGCCAGAUUGGGACUGAGACACGGCCCAGACUCCUACGGGAGGCAGCAGUGGGGAAUCUUGCACAAUGGGCGAGAGCCUGAUGCAGCGACGCCGCGUGCGGGAUGAAGGCCUUCGGGUUGUAAACCGCUUUCAGCAGGGACGAGGCCGCAAGGUGACGGUACCUGCAGAAGAAGCCCCGGCUAACUACGUGCCAGCAGCCGCGGUAAUACGUAGGGGGCAAGCGUUAUCCGGAUUCAUUGGGCGUAAAGCGCGCGUAGGCGGUCUGUUAGGUCAGGAGUUAAAUCUGGGGGCUCAACCCCUAUCCGCUCCUGAUACCGGCAGGCUUGAGUCUGGUAGGGGAAGAUGGAAUUCCAAGUGUAGCGGUGAAAUGCGCAGAUAUUUGGAAGAACACCGGUGGCGAAGGCGGUCUUCUGGGCCAUGACUGACG